GAACAAUGGACAAAAAGCUGAUACACCGGGGUUGGAAUCUUCACCUGUCAUUAUGUUCCAGGUGGCCUUGAACAAACAAUGUCUUCAAAAAUUACUGGAAAUGCUGUGGGAUUGUAUUUAAGGUUUGGAUUUGGAAGGUGGACAGCUGCUCCUGGCAAGAAUCAGAAAGACACCUGAGAAGCCAUAGCAAAGAUCUGAAGGUGGCUACCAGAAGACCCUUGGCUCUCCA